rnacentral:lncRNA from 1 species
CUGUGAUGUAUUGAUAUCGUAAUGAGAUGUCUUGCAUGCUUGUAGAGAGAGUUCUUCAUAAAUAUGCGGCGGUUGUCAUGACCUUCGGCUCAUGAUCUCCGAUCGGAGGUAUGACAAUUAAUGUGGUAUCAGAGCAUAAGUGGAUAAACUAUAUGACAUAUAGAAUCAGACAUGAGUGUAGGUGGGUAGACACUAGGAAC